rnacentral:rRNA from 1 species
AUUGAACGCUGGCGGCAGGCUUAACACAUGCAAGUCGAGCGGGGUGAUGGUGCUUGCACUAUCACUUAGCGGCGGACGGGUGAGUAAUGCUUAGGAAUCUGCCUAUUAGUGGGGGACAACAUCUCGAAAGGGAUGCCAAUACCGCAUACGUCCUACGGGAGAAAGCAGGGGAUCACUUGUGACCUUGCGCUAAUAGAUGAGCCUAAGUCGGAUUAGCUAGCUGGUGGGGUAAAGGCCUACCAAGGCGACGAUCUGUAGCGGGUCUGAGAGGAUGAUCCGCCACACUGGGACUGAGACACGGCCCAGACUCCUACGGGAGGCAGCAGUGGGGAAUAUUGGACAAUGGGGGGAACCCUGAUCCAGCCAUGCCGCGUGUGUGAAGAAGGCCUUAUGGUUGUAAAGCACUUUAAGCGAGGAGGAGGCUCUUUUGGUUAAUACCCAAGAUGAGUGGACGUUACUCGCAGAAUAAGCACCGGCUAACUCUGUGCCAGCAGCCGCCGUAAGAC